rnacentral:rRNA from 1 species
GGGUUGUGAGGUUAAGCGACUAAGCGUACACGGUGGAUGCCCUGGCAGUCAGAGGCGAUGAAGGGCGUGCUAAUCUGCGAUAAGCGCCGGUAAGGUGAUAUGAACCGUUAUAACCGGCGAUACCCGAAUGGGGAAACCCAGUGUGACUCGUCACACUAUCAUUAACUGAAUCCAUAGGUUAAUGAGGCGAACCGGGGGAACUGAAACAUCUAAGUACCCCGAGGAAAAGAAAUCAACCGAGAUUCCCCCAGUAGCGGCGAGCGAACGGGGAGGAGCCCAGAGCCUGAAUCAGCAUGUGUGUUAGUGGAAGCGUCUGGAAAGGCGCGCGAUACAGGGUGACAGCCCCGUACACAAAAGCGCAUGUGCUGUGAGCUCGAUGAGUAGGGCGGGACACGUGGUAUCCUGUCUGAAUAUGGGGGGACCAUCCUCCAAGGCUAAAUACUCCUGACUGACCGAUAGUGAACCAGUACCGUGAGGGAAAGGCGAAAAGAACCCCGGCGAGGGGAGUGAAAAAGAACCUGAAACCGUGUACGUACAAGCAGUGGGAGCCCCACCACCAAAGCAUUCUCUGGUGUUGAAGGCCCUGCAAAGCAGCAUCGCGGUGGCGGAGCGUCGUUUGCGACGCCCAACACACAAAACAAGCGGUGAAUGCUUUGGGGUGGGGUGACUGCGUACCUUUUGUAUAAUGGGUCAGCGACUUAUAUUCUGUAGCAAGGUUAACCGAAUAGGGGAGCCGGAGGGAAACCGAGUCUUAAUUGGGCGUUAAGUUGCAGGGUAUAGACCCGAAACCCGGUGAUCUAGCCAUGGGCAGGUUGAAGGUUGGGUAACACUAACUGGAGGACCGAACCGACUAAUGUUGAAAAAUUAGCGGAUGACCUGUGGCUGGGGGUGAAAGGCCAAUCAAACCGGGAGAUAGCUGGUUCUCCCCGAAAGCUAUUUAGGUAGCGCCUCGUGAAUUCAUCUCCGGGGGUAGAGCACUGUUUCGGCUAGGGGGCCAUCCCGGCUUACCAACCCGAUGCAAACUGCGAAUACCGGAGAAUGUUAUCACGGGAGACACACGGCGGGUGCUAACGUCCGUCGUGAAGAGGGAAACAACCCAGACCGCCAGCUAAGGUCCCAAAGUCAUGGUUAAGUGGGAAACGAUGUGGGAAGGCCCAGACAGCCAGGAUGUUGGCUUAGAAGCAGCCAUCAUUUAAAGAAAGCGUAAUAGCUCACUGGUCGAGUCGGCCUGCGCGGAAGAUGUAACGGGGCUAAACCAUGCACCGAAGCUGCGGCAGCGAACGUAUCACCCAAGACAACUUUACGGAGUUGACGAUUGACGGAGCGAAGCGACGUCAAAGCGUUCAUUAAAGUCGAGUUGGCUUAGGGAUACGUUCGUUGGGUAGGGGAGCGUUCUGUAAGCCUGUGAAGGUGUGUCGUGAGGCAUGCUGGAGGUAUCAGAAGUGCGAAUGCUGACAUAAGUAACGAUAAAGCGGGUGAAAAGCCCGCUCGCCGGAAGACCAAGGGUUCCUGUCCAACGUUAAUCGGGGCAGGGUGAGUCGACCCCUAAGGCGAGGCCGAAAGGCGUAGUCGAUGGGAAACGGGUUAAUAUUCCCGUACUUGGUGUUACUGCGAAGGGGGGACGGAGAAGGCUAUGUUGGCCGGGCGACGGUUGUCCCGGUUUAAGCGUGUAGGUGUGUGUUCCAGGUAAAUCCGGUUCACUUUAACACUGAGGCGUGACGACGAGGCACUACGGUGCUGAAGCAACAAAUGCCCUGCUUCCAGGAAAAGCCUCUAAGCAUCAGGUAACACGAAAUCGUACCCCAAACCGACACAGGUGGUCAGGUAGAGAAUACCAAGGCGCUUGAGAGAACUCGGGUGAAGGAACUAGGCAAAAUGGUGCCGUAACUUCGGGAGAAGGCACGCUGACACGUAGGUGAAGUGAUUUACUCAUGGAGCUGAAGUCAGUCGAAGAUACCAGCUGGCUGCAACUGUUUAUUAAAAACACAGCACUGUGCAAACACGAAAGUGGACGUAUACGGUGUGACGCCUGCCCGGUGCCGGAAGGUUAAUUGAUGGGGUCAGCGUAAGCGAAGCUCCUGAUCGAAGCCCCGGUAAACGGCGGCCGUAACUAUAACGGUCCUAAGGUAGCGAAAUUCCUUGUCGGGUAAGUUCCGACCUGCACGAAUGGCGUAAUGAUGGCCAGGCUGUCUCCACCCGAGACUCAGUGAAAUUGAACUCGCUGUGAAGAUGCAGUGUACCCGCGGCAAGACGGAAAGACCCCGUGAACCUUUACUAUAGCUUGACACUGAACAUUGAGCCUUGAUGUGUAGGAUAGGUGGGAGGCUUUGAAGUGUGGACGCCAGUCUGCAUGGAGCCGACCUUGAAAUACCACCCUUUAAUGUUUGAUGUUCUAACGUGGACCCGUAAUCCGGGUUGCGGACAGUGUCUGGUGGGUAGUUUGACUGGGGCGGUCUCCUCCUAAAGAGUAACGGAGGAGCACGAAGGUUGGCUAAUCCUGGUCGGACAUCAGGAGGUUAGUGCAAUGGCAUAAGCCAGCUUGACUGCGAGCGUGACGGCGCGAGCAGGUGCGAAAGCAGGUCAUAGUGAUCCGGUGGUUCUGAAUGGAAGGGCCAUCGCUCAACGGAUAAAAGGUACUCCGGGGAUAACAGGCUGAUACCGCCCAAGAGUUCAUAUCGACGGCGGUGUUUGGCACCUCGAUGUCGGCUCAUCACAUCCUGGGGCUGAAGUAGGUCCCAAGGGUAUGGCUGUUCGCCAUUUAAAGUGGUACGCGAGCUGGGUUUAGAACGUCGUGAGACAGUUCGGUCCCUAUCUGCCGUGGGCGCUGGAGAACUGAGGGGGGCUGCUCCUAGUACGAGAGGACCGGAGUGGACGCAUCACUGGUGUUCGGGUUGUCAUGCCAAUGGCACUGCCCGGUAGCUAAAUGCGGAAGAGAUAAGUGCUGAAAGCAUCUAAGCACGAAACUUGCCCCGAGAUGAGUUCUCCCUGAGACUUUAGGUCUCCUGAAGGAACGUUGAAGACGACGACGUUGAUAGGCCGGGUGUGUAAGCGCAGCGAUGCGUUGAGCUAACCGGUACUAAUGAACCGUGAGGCUUAACCUUACAACGCCGAAG